rnacentral:rRNA from 1 species
CGGACGGGUGAGUAAUGUCUGGGAAACUGCCCGAUGGAGGGGGAUAACUACUGGAAACGGUAGCUAAUACCGCAUAACGUCGCAAGACCAAAGAGGGGGACCUUCGGGCCUCUUGCCAUCGGAUGUGCCCAGAUGGGAUUAGCUAGUAGGUGGGGUAACGGCUCACCUAGGCGACGAUCCCUAGCUGGUCUGAGAAGAUGACCAGCCACACUGGAACUGAGACACGGUCCAG